rnacentral:rRNA from 1 species
GUUUGGUUAAGUUAGAAAGGGCGCACGGUGGAUGCCUUGACACUAGGAGUCGAUGAAGGACGGGACUAACGCCGAUAUGCUUCGGGGAGCUGUAAGUAAGCUUUGAUCCGAAGAUUUCCGAAUGGGGAAACCCACCAUACGUAAUGGUAUGGUAUCCUUAUCUGAAUACAUAGGGUAAGGAAGACAGACCCAGGGAACUGAAACAUCUAAGUACCUGGAGGAAGAGAAAGCAAAUGCGAUUUCCUGAGUAGCGGCGAGCGAAACGGAACAUAGCCCAAACCAAGAGGCUUGCCUCUUGGGGUUGUAGGACAUUCUAUACGGAGUUACAAAGGAACGAGGUAGACGAAGCGACCUGGAAAGGUCCGUCGUAGAGGGUAACAACCCCGUAGUCGAAACUUCGUUCUCUCUUGAAUGUAUCCUGAGUACGGCGGAACACGUGAAAUUCCGUCGGAAUCUGGGAGGACCAUCUCCCAAGGCUAAAUACUCCCUAGUGAUCGAUAGUGAACCAGUACCGUGAGGGAAAGGUGAAAAGCACCCCGGAAGGGGAGUGAAAGAGAUCCUGAAACCGUGUGCCUACAAAUAGUCAGAGCCCGUUAACGGGUGAUGGCGUGCCUUUUGUAGAAUGAACCGGCGAGUUACGAUCCCGUGCGAGGUUAAGCUGAAGAGGCGGAGCCGCAGCGAAAGCGAGUCUGAAUAGGGCGUUUAGUACGUGGUCGUAGACCCGAAACCAGGUGAUCUACCCAUGUCCAGGGUGAAGUUCAGGUAACACUGAAUGGAGGCCCGAACCCACGCACGUUGAAAAGUGCGGGGAUGAGGUGUGGGUAGCGGAGAAAUUCCAAUCGAACCUGGAGAUAGCUGGUUCUCCCCGAAAUAGCUUUAGGGCUAGCCUUAAGUGUAAGAGUCUUGGAGGUAGAGCACUGAUUGGACUAGGGGUCCUCAUCGGAUUACCGAAUUCAGUCAAACUCCGAAUGCCAAUGACUUAUCCUUAGGAGUCAGACUGCGAGUGAUAAGAUCCGUAGUCAAAAGGGAAACAGCCCAGACCGCCAGCUAAGGUCCCAAAGUGUGUAUUAAGUGGAAAAGGAUGUGGAGUUGCUUAGACAACUAGGAUGUUGGCUUAGAAGCAGCCACCAUUUAAAGAGUGCGUAAUAGCUCACUAGUCGAGUGACUCUGCGCCGAAAAUGUACCGGGGCUAAAUACACCACCGAAGCUGCGGAUUGAUACCAAUGGUAUCAGUGGUAGGGGAGCGUUCUAAGGACAGUGAAGUCAGACCGUAAGGACUGGUGGAGUGCUUAGAAGUGAGAAUGCCGGUAUGAGUAGCGAAAGACGGGUGAGAAUCCCGUCCACCGAAUGCCUAAGGUUUCCUGAGGAAGGCUCGUCCGCUCAGGGUUAGUCAGGACCUAAGCCGAGGCCGACAGGCGUAGGCGAUGGACAACAGGUUGAUAUUCCUGUACCACCUCUUUAUCGUUUGAGCAAUGGAGGGACGCAGAAGGAUAGAAGAAGCGUGCGAUUGGUUGUGCACGUCCAAGCAGUUAGGCUGAUAA